rnacentral:rRNA from 1 species
AAUAGAUACCCUGGUAGUCCACCCCGUAAACGUUGGGAACUAGUUGUGGGGUCCAUUCCACGGAUUCCGUGACGCAGCUAACGCAUUAAGUUCCCCGCCUGGGGAGUACGGCCGCAAGGCUAAAACUCAAAGGAAUUGACGGGGACCCGCACAGGCGGCGGAGCAUGCGGAUUAAUUCGAUGCAACGCGAAGAACCUUACCAAGGCUUGACAUACACGAGAACGGGCCAGAAAUGGUCAACUCUUUGGACACUCGUGAACAGGUGGUGCAUGGUUGUCGUCAGCUCGUGUCGUGAGAUGUUGGGUUAAGUCCCGCAACGAGCGCAACCCUCGUUCUAUGUUGCCAGCACGUAAUGGUGGGAACUCAUGGGAUACUGCCGGGGUCAACUCGGAGGAAGGUGGGGAUGACGUCAAAUCAUCAUGCCCCUUAUGUCUUGGGCUUCACGCAUGCUACAAUGGCCGGUACAAAGGGCUGCAAUACCGUGAGGUGGAGCGAAUCCCAAAAAGCCGGUCCCAGUUCGGAUUGAGGUCCGCAACUCGCCUAC